rnacentral:rRNA from 1 species
UACGUAGGGUGCGAGCGUUGUCCGGAAUUACUGGGCGUAAAGAGCUCGUAGGUGGUUUGUCGCGUCGUUUGUGUAAGUCCACGGCUUAACUGUGGGAUGGCAGCGAUACGGGCAUAACUUGAGUGCUGUAGGGGAGACUGGAAUUCCUGGUGUAGCGGUGAAAUGCGCAGAUAUCAGGAGGAACACCGAUGGCGAAGGCAGGUCUCUGGGCAGUAACUGACGCUGAGGAGCGAAAGCAUGGGUAGCGAACAGG